rnacentral:lncRNA from 1 species
CAGCAAUUAUCGUGACAGACAAAAGAGACUCAGAGUAGGGAGUUGGAUUUAUUGCCUAUUACUAACAAGCUAGAGAAAUGAGAAAUAAAGGAAAUAAACCAAAAAUGCCUUCCCCCCCAUCCGCCCUCUUCCACCUCUUCCCCCCGAGCGGCACAGGGGAAGGAGAAUGGGGGCUGUGGUCAGUCUAUGGCACUUCGUCUCUGCUAGUCCUUCUCAGUCCCUCUCUGCCCCUGCUUCCCGUGGGUCCCUCCCAUGGGAUGCUGUCCUUCCCGAAGUGACCCUGCAGGGGCUGCCCACAUGCAGCAGCUCUUCAAGCAAGGCUCUGUAGCACAGGGAGCAAACUGCUCCAGCACGGGUCCCCCACGGGCGGCAGCUCCCCCCAGACUCCCUGCUCCCCGUGGGCUCCUCUCCACAGGCUGCAGCUCCGGCCCGGGGCCUGCUCCUGCGGGGGCUCUCCAUGGGCCGCAGCCUCCUCCAGGCCACAUCCACUGCUCCAGCGGGGGCUCCUCCACCCAUGGGGGGGCUGCAGCGUGGAGAUCUGCUCCUUGUGGGACCCAUGGGUGCAGGGGGACAGCCUGCUCCACCAGGGGCCUCUCCCUGCACAGCCCGCAGGGGAACUGCUGCUGUGAGCCUGGAGCACCUCCUGGCCUCCUGCUGCACUCACCUUGGGGGCUGCAGGGCUGCUUCUCACUCUUCCCUCUGUCAGCUACUGUGUGGCAGUGUUUUUUCUUCCUUAAAUAUGCUCUCAGAGGCACAAACAACAUCGCUUAUGGGCCCAGCUUUGGCGAGCAGCAGGGCCCUUAUCUAACAUGGGGCAGCUUCUGGAUUCUUCUCACAGAAGCCACCCCUAUGGUCCCUGCUACCAAAACCUUGCCACGUAAACCCACUACAGGCAAAUGGGAUGUCUCAUCAUGUCAGCUGCCAGGAAAGUAUCUCCUUUUGGCAUCUGACAUAUAUCAAAUGGAUGAAGAUGUGUUUCCCUACCAGUGUUUUGUUUCUAUUGUUCUUCUCAAAUUGCCCACUAAAAGAGCUCCAAAAACAUGAACUGCUUCUCAGUUCAGAUUUCCAAAAAUCAAAACACUUUCUUGAAACAGCAACUUUUGCAUCCAACCUGGACUAUGAAGCUGUGCCCCAGUGAAUAAUUUCCCCUCACACAUGGGAGAAGAUGCUCA